rnacentral:tRNA from 1 species
AGUUUUAUAGUCUAUUAUAAUAAGAUUUUAAAUUGCAAAUUUAAAGAAGCAAAAAGCUAAGACUU